AGUGAACGCUGGCGGCAGGCCUAACACAUGCAAGUCGAACGGCAGCACAGUAAGAGCUUGCUCUUAUGGGUGGCGAGUGGGGGACGGGUGAGGACUACAUCGGAAUCUACUUUUUCGUGGGGGAUAACGUAGGGAAACUUACGCUAAUACCGCAUACGCCCUAUGGGUGAAAGCAGGGGACCUUCGGACCUUGCGUGUCUGUAUGAGCCGAUCUCGGAUUAGCUAGUUGGCGGGGUAGAGGCCCACCAAGGCGACGAUCCGGAGCUGGUCGGGGGGGAUGAUCGGCCGCACUGGAGCGGAGGCACGGUCCAGACUCCUACGGGAGGCAGCAGUGGGGGAUAUUGGACAAUAGGCGCAAGCCUGAUCCAGCCGUACCGCGUGGGUGAAGAAGGCCUUCGGGUUGUAAAGACCUUUUGUUGGGAGAGAAAAGCAGCAGGUUAGUACGCCGCUGUUCUGACGGUACCCAAAGAAUAAGCACCGGCUAACUUCGUG
rnacentral:rRNA from 1 species